rnacentral:rRNA from 1 species
UGGGGAAUUUUGCGCAAUGGGCGAAAGCCUGACGCAGCGACGCCGCGUGUGCGAUGAAGGCCUUUGGGUCGUAAAGCACUGUCGACAGGGAAGAAAGCUCGUCGGAUAACACCCGGCGAGGUUGACGGUACCUGUAAAGGAAGCACCGGCUAACUCUGUGCCAGCAGCCGCGGUAAUACAGAGGGUGCAAACGUUGCUCGGAAUUACUGGGCGUAAAGCGCAUGUAGGCGGGUCGUUAAGUCGGGGGUGAAAGCCCAGAGCUCAACUCUGGAACUGCCUUCGAUACUGGCGACCUGGACCCAAGGAGAGGCGAGUGGAAUUGCGAGUGUAGAGGUGAAAUUCGUAGAUAUUCGCAGGAACACCAGUGGCGAAGGCGACUCGCUGGACUUGUGGUGACGCUGAGAUGCGAAAGCGUGGGGAGCAAACAGGAUUAGAUACCCAUGUAGUCCCUGAGCGGGCUGGCAAGGCGCAU